CCUUUCAUUGCAGCAGAAUUGGGAUGGUUGAGUAUCUCGCCUCUCCGUUCUGCCUGUAUUCUACCCUUGUUUGUCAUAUACUAUUAGUUCCUCGGCAGGCUUGCCUGCCGAGUGAAACCAUUUAUAACCUUUUUAAUUUUCAAUCAGCGUCUGAAAAAAUUAAUAAUUA
rnacentral:misc_RNA from 1 species